AGUUUGAUAAGUUUUGACUUCAUCCGUAGUCACAUUUCGAGCCUCAAAGGUUAUGAAAAACAAACCAGGCGGAUGCAUAUUUGCAUGGUCAAUUCUCUCAAAGAUAAGAUUUGCACCCUUUUCAUUCUCCUUCUCAAUAGCAUAUUUAAGGGCUUCUCUGCAACCAUUAGAAUAGACAGUAUCAAGAUCCAGAUAGACAGGAUAAGCAAUACCAGAUAAUAUGGGCCGCCCGGGUAAAGGGAUGAAAUCAAAACCAUCGCUUUCUUUGUACUGGCAUAUGAAAUCUUCUAACAAUUUCACAUGGUCCUCAUUUUCGGAAUCAUAAUGCCACGCCAAGGGGUCAAUAUCUUCCAAUAAGUGAUACUCAUCGUCCAUGUUGCAAUUAAUUUCUUUUUUGUUGUCCUCAUCUUCAAGCUGUUCACCAACGGAGCUGCCCGCAACCUUUGGUUCACUACCCGGCCCUUGGCCAUGUAAGCCAUCCUUAAUCUUCGACAGUGAUUCAUAAGCCGCGUAAUCGUCCUUGGAAGCCAUGUUACCGAGAAUGGGUGUAAGAGAGACGCUGAUUCACAAAUCAGAAACCUAGGCAGAAAACAAUUGAGGAUAAUGUGUUACGGAACAAUUUAUAGCACGGGACAAACGUCCUCCAACAGUUUAUUUUAAUGAGAAAUAAACAGCGCCCAUCCAAUGAUUUCAAACACACACACAGAGACAACCCAUUGAAUUUCAACAACAAAACAGUAAAACAGUGCAACCAGUAAUCAAUCUCCAAACCAAGAUUAAUACUGACUAGACUCUAGAUCCAGAACAACUCACUCAAAAUAACGGAAUCCCCAAUUCAGGAAGAC
rnacentral:misc_RNA from 1 species